ACAUCUAAGACACUGGUGAGGACUGGGCCAAAAUGCAGAUCCAGCCUAGGUUCCUCCACCUGAGUAAUCCGGUCUCAAGUUACGACUGCUGAUGGAUCACAGCGACGUGUUCUGACCUCUCUCCUCACUCCCCAGCAUCAGCUCACCAAGAGGGCCUGAGAUAAUACUCUCCCAUAAUGGUUCCAGUAUCAGAGCUAAGCAAGAAGAAGCAAGGUACUGUUUAAUUUAAGGGGUAAAACCAUGACUGGAAAGCAUGGGGACCAUGCACACCAAUGCAGCUGGUUACAAGACUAGCAGUGGUUCACCUCCCAGUCACAAGCUACCAGAGGCUGGAGAAACACCACGUGAAGUGUUCCUGUUCUGGCUUUUCCUUUGUCCUCUUUGAAGCCCUGAGAACCAACCAAUGAGAGGCACAGCCUGGUUUGCUACCAUGCAACUGUCCUCAUUAAUGUUCUUCAAGCCCUGAUGUACCCGGACCACCAUCGUUGGCAAGUUCUUGUUACCCAGUUCCUGCUGACAACCAGGGAACAGGCACAAGUCAGCUGAGAAAAUGAACCACUAGAAGGCUGGGAUCACAUCUGGAUUUGAGACUAAGCAACUUUCAUGCAAAUAUGCCACCAAAAUAUGAAUACUGUGCCAGGUUCUUCUAAGUGAUACAGAGCUUUUGAACACAAAGUCACCAUUUUUGCACAUUUGCACUGCCCUGAAAACUUAUGAGCACCCUUCUCUAUUGGCUUCAAUCAACGUUUAUUCUUGAGUCUAAUGGAAAUGAUGGAAAUUAUUCUGCUGACUCCAACAAACUCAACUUUCUAGCCAGUACAUCAGAUUUACUGGUGCCAUCCCACUAUCAAAAUGGUGAAUUUUAUAAACAUACCAGGGAGGAUAAGUGCCCAGGAGAAAAGAUGUCAGAGAGGGAUCCAGAAAUGACAGUCUACUUGUAACAGAAAUAAAACAAAGAA